UACGGCGGGCGCAAGCGUUGUUCGGAAUCACUGGGCGUAAAGCGCGUGUAGGCGGCUUGGUAAGUCGGGUGUGAAAGCCCGGGGCCUAACCCCGGAACUGCACUCGAAACUGCCUCGCUCGAGUCCCGGAGAGGAUGGUGGAAUUCCCGGUGUAGUGGUGAAAUACGGAGAUAUCGGGAGGAACACCGGCGGCGAAGGCGGCCAUCUGGACGGUGACAGACGCUGAGCCGCGAAAGCGUGGGGACCAAACAGG
rnacentral:rRNA from 1 species